rnacentral:rRNA from 1 species
AUUGAACGCUGGCGGCAUGCCUUACACAUGCAAGUCGAACGGUAACAGGUCUUCGGAUGCUGACGAGUGGCGAACGGGUGAGUAAUGCAUCGGAACGUGCCCAGUAGUGGGGGAUAGCCCGGCGAAAGCCGGAUUAAUACCGCAUACGACCUGAGGGUGAAAGGGGGGGAUCGCAAGACCUCUCGCUAUUGGAGCGGCCGAUGUCAGAUUAGCUAGUUGGUGGGGUAAAGGCCUACCAAGGCAACGAUCUGUAGUUGGUCUGAGGGGACGACCAGCCACACUGGGACUGAGACACGGCCCAGACUCCUACGGGAGGCAGCAGUGGGGAAUUUUGGACAAUGGGCGCAAGCCUGAUCCAGCAAUGCCGCGUGCAGGAAGAAGGCCUUCGGGUUGUAAACUGCUUUUGUCAGAGAAGAAAUCUUCUGGGUUAAUACCUCGGGAGGAUGACGGUACCUGAAGAAUAAGCACCGGCUAACUACGUGCCAGCAGCCGCCGUAA